rnacentral:rRNA from 1 species
GAUGAACGCUGGCGGCGUGCCUAAUACAUGCAAGUCGAGCGAACAGACGAGGAGCUUGCUCCUCUGACGUUAGCGGCGGACGGGUGAGUAACACGUGGAUAACCUACCUAUAAGACUGGGAUAACUUCGGGAAACCGGAGCUAAUACCGGAUAAUAUAUUGAACCGCAUGGUUCAAUAGUGAAAGACGGUUUUGCUGUCACUUAUCGAUGGAUCCGCGCCGCAUUAGCUAGUUGGUAAGGUAACGGCUUACCAAGGCAACGAUGCGUAGCCGACCGGAGAGGGUGAACGGCCACACUAGAACUGAGACACGGUCCAAACUCCUACGGGAGGCAGCAGUAGGGAAUCUUCCGCAAUGGGCGAAAGCCUGACGGAACAACGCCGCGUGAGUGAUGAAGGUCUUCGGAUCGUAAAACUCUGUUAUUGGGGAAGAACAAAUGUGUAAGUAACUAUGCACGUCUUGACGGUACCUAAUCAGAAAGCCACGGCUAACUACGUG